rnacentral:rRNA from 1 species
GACGAACGCUGGCGGCGUGCUUAACACAUGCAAGUCGAACGGAAAGGCCCUGCUUUUGUGGGGUGCUCGAGUGGCGAACGGGUGAGUAACACGUGAGUAACCUGCCCUUGACUUUGGGAUAACUUCAGGAAACUGGGGCUAAUACCGGAUAGGAGCUCCUGCUGCAUGGUGGGGGUUGGAAAGUUUCGGCGGUUGGGGAUGGACUCGCGGCUUAUCAGCUUGUUGGUGGGGUAGUGGCUUACCAAGGCUUUGACGGGUAGCCGUCCUGAGAGGGUGACCGGCCACAUUGGGACUGAGAUACGGCCCAGACUCCUACGGGAGGCAGCAGUGGGGAAUAUCGCACAAUGGGCGGAAGCCUGAUGCAGCAACGCCGCGUGCGGGAUGACGGCCUUCGGGUUGUAAACCGCUUUCGCCUGUGACGAAGCGUGAGUGACGGUAAUGGGUAAAGAAGCACCGGCUAACUACGUG